rnacentral:lncRNA from 1 species
CUCGUAUUAUGUUACACACAAAAAUGAAUUCAUACACAUAUAUUUCCAGCACAAUCAAAUAAUUAAGACUCUAUACAUUGUCAUGAAAAAAUUAAGGACUCUUACAUGGAAACAGGUUUCCACGAGAAUUCCUAAUCUACAAGACUCUCCGACUUUUGAGGGAAUCGGAGAGGAAAAACUUUAAUGAAAUACUCUAAGAACACAAUGGUCUUCCUCUUCACCUGGAUUUAUGUAAGUUCCUUGUCCAGUAAACAAACUAGCUCUUGUGUACUCUCCUUCAACUUCGGGAUCU